rnacentral:rRNA from 1 species
GAUGAACGCUAGCUACAGGCUUAACACAUGCAAGUCGAGGGGAAACGACAUCGAAAGCUUGCUUUUGAUGGGCGUCGACCGGCGCACGGGUGAGUAACGCGUAUCCAACCUGCCCACCACUUGGGGAUAACCUUGCGAAAGUAAGACUAAUACCCAAUGACGUCUCUAGAAGACAUCUGAAAGAGAUUAAAGAUUUAUCGGUGAUGGAUGAGGAUGCGUCUGAUUAGCUUGUUGGCGGGGUAACGGCCCACCAAGGCGACGAUCAGUAGGGGUUCUGAGAGGAAGGUCCCCCACAUUGGAACUGAGACACGGUCCAAACUCCUACGGGAGGCAGCAGUGAGGAAUAUUGGUCAAUGGACGAGAGUCUGAACCAGCCAAGUAGCGUGCAGGAUGACGGCCCUAUGGGUUGUAAACUGCUUUUAUAAGGGAAUAAAGUGAGUCUCGUGAGACUUUUUGCAUGUACCUUAUGAAUAAGGGCCGGCUAAUUCCGUG